GGGUGACACGGAACAGAUCAGGUGACCGGUUCCUGGAUUUUCGUAGUCUACCGUUUCCGGUUUUGAAAACAUAGGAAACCACUCGACUUUAACUUUUCCCUUUUACCCUACCUUUCUUCUUCGACAAAACACUGAAGCCAGCUCUCAGCCGCCUCUCUCACAGAAACGUAUGUCUUCGCAGCCAUUCUAUCGAGUAUCGACCACCGGCCACCACUGCUAUUUCCAUUUGACCGUCACCAAUCGUGGAAACCCGAAACCCUCUUCUUCUCCUACUUAACCGAACUAUAUCCGCCCCAUUCCCACCAUUGUUGCCGACUCGCCACCGGCUACUACAUUCUCUCUCUCCUUCCCAUUCCAUACCUUUUACACUUUGAAAAAGAAAAAUCCUAAUCCAUUUAUCUCCAUCUUUAGACUCUAACCUGUGGCAAAACUGUUAGAACAACAUAACAAGUUAGGCUUUCCUGUGAACAACAAAACAAGCUAGUCAGCCUUAACACCGAAUACUGAGGAACCGAAGUAGAAGAACAACAGAACAAGUUUAGAUAGAACCAUGAGUCGGUAAACACUCUUGUUCCACUUUGAGAUCUUGAUUCCCAUCAUGCAGGUCCAUCAUCAAACCUGUAGGACAUCGGACAAGUACCUGGCAUAGGGUCCUUUUGUGCACAUGUAACAAGUAGGGAAAAGGAGAAUGUGAAUGCAAAGCGGAAAUCCCUUCAUUUUGGAUGAUAUUUUAUCUUCUUUUUUAUAUUUUUUGUUUAAACAUAAAUGUUUAAUUGCAAGUAUUAAAGUUUUUUUGUAAUAUUUUAAUAUAUGUUUAUAUUGUCAAUUAGAAUGUUAUAUGGAUAAAUACGAUUAAUUAGGUGUAAAGCGUAAAU